GCUUGCUGGAGAUCCCUGCUUACGUGGGGCCUUUUAAAGGUAGGAGCGGUGUGGGAUGGCUGGCAGAUCUGAGAGCAUGGCACGCCCCAGCGGGCAAAGCGAGCAGUGCGGAGGAAGGCGCGAGUCAGUUUGGAGUGCUCCCCAUUUAUCAAACUCACGCAGCCCGCCAGCAGAGCGAGUCUUUCUAUCAUUACAGCUCUCAAAAUCCGAUUCAUACCACUAAUCCUGCCUUCAUUCUCCCAGAUUAAUAACAUCUCUUUCAACCUUCACAGUGUGAUAAAUAGACAAAGAGAGAACAAAAGGAGAAACAGAAGUGAGAGAAAGAGCCAGAGCAACUCCACAUAAUAAAGAGAACCAAGAAAGGGGAGAAAAAAAAAAAGGAAAAAGAAAGGGGGAAGAAAGAAGCUGGCACACUUGACUCUGCCAUUUACUUCAGCAGAUUCUCCCUAAGAGCUCCCUGCAAUCUUUAAAGAAUGUAAAACAUUGCUCAAAGAAAAGGCUCGUUAGCAACUCUGACCAGCCCAGGUUUGCUGGAGAUCUUUUUGCUUCCAGCCUGGGCUCGGGCCAGCACUAAGUCUGUUGGUUCCUUUCCUGCUCCUUCCCCAGAUUCAAGCACUAGUAUGCAUCUACUACCUCCUUGCAAAGGCUCCAUGGAGGGCACAGGGGGUGCUCAGAGAGCCCAAGAUGCUGGCAUUGGCAUGGGACCCUCACAUCUGCGGAAUCAUUAAGGUUGGAAAAGACCAUUAAGAUCGCUUUGUCCAACUGUCAACUGGUCCUCACCGUGCUUGAUGGCCUCGUCACUCAGUGCCACAUCUCCACAGUUUUUUAAACACUCCAGGGAUGGUGACUCAUCACCUCCUGGAGUAUCUCAGGAGCGAGGCCCAUGACUCUUAGGCUUAGGAUGGGGAUGAAGAGAAAGCCACAACAGCAGCCCAGCAGAUGUGGCACUUGAUGCUAUUCUUCUACCAUCCAUCGAGCUGGAGGCAAAAAGGAUGAUAGCAAGGGAGCAGCCCUACUGCACAUGGAACAGUGUUGCCUGGGUGCAAGGAACAGGAUGGUGGCAGCAGGUGCCCUCCUAGCACUGCCCUGCUCUGCUUUGAUAGGUAACAGCUGAACCCUAGGGCAAGCUCAGCUUGCAGCCCCCUAACACAGAAAGAUAACUU